GGUAUUGCUGGACCCUUCUGUACACAUUGGAAUCCUGAGAUACUGCAAAAGCAUUCAACAACCCAUGUGCUGUCAGAAAAUGCAGGAACUCUUGCUGUAAUGCUGGAGGUGGUCGGGCACAACUCACAGCCCUGCUUGGGACACAGCAGCUGGGGGUCCAUGGAGAUGUCUACCUGAGGCCAAUUGGAGCGAUGGAUGCUGCUUCAGGUAAAACAGCCAAGGACUCAAGAAACAACGAUUUUCAUAAUUAACCAGAUAAUUUAAGCUAGUAUUCCUAUUUUGUAAUUAGGUAGACACUCAUCGUAAUUUUCUUGAUGCUUUUACCUAAUACCUGAAUAUACUUAAGCUUACAAAU